rnacentral:rRNA from 1 species
UUGUAGCUUGCUAUGGUAUAACUUAGUGGCAGACGGGUGAGUAAUAUAUAGGAAUCUACCUAGUAGUAUGGAAUAAUUGUUGGAAACGGCAACUAAUACCGUAUACGCCCUACGGGGGAAAAAUUUAUUGCUAUUGGAUGAGCCUAUAUUAGAUUAGCUAGUUGGUGGAGUAAUAGCCUACCAAGGCAAUGAUCUAUAGCUGAUCUGAGAGGAUGAUCAGCCACACUGGAACUGAGAUACGGUCCAGACUCCUACGGGAGGCAGCAGUGGGGAAUAUUGGACAAUGGGCGAAAGCCUGAUCCAGCCAUGCCGCAUGAGUGAAGAAGGCCUUUGGGUUGUAAAGCUCUUUUAGUGAGGAAGAUAAUGACGGUACUCACAGAAGAAGUCCUGGCUAACUCCGUGCCAGCAGCCGCGGUAAUACGGAGAGGGCUAGCGUUAUUCGGAAUUAUUGGGCGUAAAGGGCGCGUAGGCUGGUUAAUAAGUUAAAAGUGAAAUCCCGAGGCUUAACCUUGGAAUUGCUUUUAAGACUAUUAAUCUAGAGAUUGAAAGAGGAUAGAGGAAUUCCUGAUGUAGAGGUAAAAUUCGUAAAUAUUAGGAGGAACACCAGUGGCGAAGGCGUCUAUCUGGUUCAAAUCUGACGCUGAAGCGCGAAGGCGUGGGGAGCAAACAGGAUUAGAUACCCUGGUAGUCCACGCUGUAAACGAUGAAUGUUAAAUAUGGGAAGUUUACUUUCUGUAUUACAGCUAACGCGUUAAACAUUCCGCCUGGGGACUACGGUCGCAAGAUUAAAACUCAAAGGAAUUGACGGGGACCCGCACAAGCGGUGGAGCAUGUGGUUUAAUUCGAUGCAACGCGAAAAACCUUACCACUUCUUGACAUGAAAAUCAUACCUAUUC